GCCAGGCAUUGUGGUGCAUGCCUGUAAUCCCAGCAGCUCCAGGGGCUGAGGCCGGAGGAUUGUGAGUUCAAGGUCAGCCUCAGCAACUUAGUGAGGCCCUAAGCAACUUAGCAAGAUCCUGUCUCAA
rnacentral:sRNA from 1 species